rnacentral:rRNA from 1 species
CCUACGGGAGGCAGCAGUAGGGAAUCUUCCGCAAUGGACGAAAGUCUGACGGAGCAACGCCGCGUGAACGAUGAAGGCCUUCGGGUCGUAAAGUUCUGUUGUUAGGGAAGAACAAGUGCUAGUUAAAUAAGCUGGCACCUUGACGGUACCUAACCAGAAAGCCACGGCUAACUACGUGCCAGCAGCCGCGGUAAUACGUAGGUGGCAAGCGUUGUCCGGAAUUAUUGGGCGUAAAGCGCGCGCAGGCGGUUUCUUAAGUCUGAUGUGAAAGCCCCCGGCUCAACCGGGGAGGGUCAUUGGAAACUGGGAAACUUGAGUGCAGAAGAGGAAAGUGGAAUUCCAAGUGUAGCGGUGAAAUGCGUAGAGAUUUGGAGGAACACCAGUGGCGAAGGCGACUUUCUGGUCUGUAACUGACGCUGAGGCGCGAAAGCGUGGGGAGCAAACAGGAUUAGAUACCCUGGUAGUCCACGCUGUAAACGAUGAGUGCUAAGUGUUAGAGGGUUUCCGCCCUUUAGUGCUGAAGUUAACGCAUUAAGCACUCCGCCUGGGGAGUACGGUCGCAAGACUGAAACUCAAAAUGAAUUGACGG